rnacentral:rRNA from 1 species
CCUACGGGAGGCAGCAGUGAGGAAUAUUCGUCAAUGGGCGCGAGCCUGAACCAGCCAAGUAGCGUGAAGGAUGACUGCCCUACGGGUUGUAAACUUCUUUUAUAAAGGAAUAAAGUGAGGCAAGUGUGCCUUUUUGUAUGUACUUUAUGAAUACGGAUCGGCUAACUCCGUGCCAGCAGCCGCGGUAAUACGGUGGAUCCGAGCGUUAUCCGGAUUUAUUGGGUUUAAAGGGAACGUAGAUGGGUUGUUAAGUCAGUUGUGAAAGUUUGCGGCUCAACCGUAAAAUUGCAAUUGAUACUAGCAGCCUUGAGUACAGUUGAGGUAGGCGGAAUUCGUGGUGUAGCGGUGAAAUGCUUAGAUAUCACGAAGAACUCCGAUGGCGAAGGCAGCUUACUAAACUGCCACUGACAUUGAUGCUCGAAAGUGUGGGUAUCAAACAGGAUUAGAUACCCCAGUAGUC